CAGGGACGGGGCUGCGGUGCCCUCCCGGAGCGCCGUCCUGAGGGGACGGGGGGGGUCACAGCUGGGCUGCUGCGGCGGAGCGGUGCCCGCUCCUGGAAAUGCCCCGAGGGUCCGGCGCUCCGUCCUCCCCGUGGCCCGGCUCCGUUGAGCCGAGACGGCCCCUGCGCAGCCCGUGCAUUUCUAAUGUAUCGUUUCUACAGUCCCAGAUCUGCCUUUGCGCCCCUCGGUGAUGGGUGACCCCCGUGCCCUCCGCCCGAUCCCGCCGCUGCAACGUUCCCGGACCUCACCGCAGGCCCGGUGGGUCCCCGUCUCACACACCAGCAUCUGUUACAUUGUAUUUCUGCAGGGGUUUGCAACUGGCGAUUUCGGGGUUUAUUCUUCCAGAUUCCUCCAAGUCUCUGUAGCAAUAAUUUAGUUUCCACAUUCCGUUACAAUAGCCGGGGCUGGUGCUGGUGGUUUGCUGCAUUGAUGCUGGGCCCUGGGCAGGAUGGCUGCUCCAAGACUGUCAUGGGUCGUAGAAAUGUUCCCUAGCAACUUUAAGGGCGUGUUUUGGGGCAAUGGCUCUGUCUGUCUGUCUUGUCAUUGAAAUCGAUGGGGGGAUCACUUCCUUUUGAGCAGGGUGGUUUUGCCUUACAGGGUGUCUGUUGUGAUUCUCAGGGCAUUAGGAUGUGAUGGCUGUCCGUGUCAAUAGCUUUGUGGCUAUAAUUCAAGAAGUUAGAUCUCAUACUUGAAUAUGUCAAGGCAUAGUAUACAGUAAAUUAAUCUGCCUUUUCCUGAGGUUAUAUCCCCAGAUAUUUGUAAUGGAUACCCCUACAGCAUACUUCAGGGUGUUCUUAGACCUUUCAAAACCUAGUUCAGUUGUCAUGGGACGGAGUGUUGUUUUCUACUAAUUGCUUGGAUUACUAGAUACUUGGAGAAGAGCUCAUUUGCAUAUUUAAGCUUAAUUCCUUAAGUUUUUCCUCUGUUUUAUUUUCACAGUGCCUUUCCCCCUCUGAAUUUGGACAGCAGCAUCCAUGUAUCCCAGAAACAUCACUGUAUCUACCAAUGAGUUACAGGCUUUAACAUUCCUUUUGGCUUUUUAAAUAGCUAAAGGUUUUUGUGAAGUUUGGAUUGCCUUCAUCAUCUUCCCUCCACAGAUUCCUUCCAUGAGAAGGAGAAAAUGCUCUCUUCUGUCUGAAGGUGCCAUUGAGGGUCACUUCUCUUUUUAAUGCUGGUCUGUAGGAGGUCCCAGUUAAACACCAUUGCUGGCCCAGACUGGAAUGCAUCCAUCUGAAAUGAACAUGAGGGUGAUGAGCCCAUUAGUUUUAGAGUUCAACCAAAAUGUGUUUGACUUUUUUUUUUUUUUCCCAAGCUGCAGUAAGGAUUCCAAAUUGUGUUACUUUAGUAAGUGGAUUUAAUUAAUAUGGAGGCAGACAUCUCAUCACCCAGGGGCAGGCCUUGGGGAUUUAGGAGCUGCUUGUUUGCUAUGCUAACAUCAUUAUCCUUUGACUAAUGAGAGGGGGGUUUCGCAGGGACGGCAGGCAGCUCGGUACAAGCAUGCAGGUAUCCUACACAAGAACCUGUGGGUUUCCAAGACUUUAUCCAAAGGCUACACCCCUCUUGCCUGGAGAGAUCUCGCCUUCUUGCAUGCCCCCACCCUCCAAGGCAUUUGUCCAUCCCUUCUGCCCCAGGAGGAGUAGCUGUGCCUUCCUGAACCCCCUGAGCCCUCUCAGCCCACAUCCAGUCCUGCCUCAUGGGAGACAGAGACCCCGUGGACAUUGCCAGCUGAGCUGGGGCUGGGGGAAAAGGUGCUGCUUUCCUGGAAUCCUGGGAUUCCAGAGCCUCACUAGGUUGAUGUGUGGUGGUCCAGUGCCUCUCCUCUUUGACAGAGCAAACAUUUCACCUGGGUGUCAGAGUGCAGAGUGGGUCAGGUAAUACUGGUGCUGCCUCACAGGGAAUAUCACCUUUUGUAAGAACUGCACAGACCAGGUGAUCAUGGAAGUCUGGGAUCUUCUGAACAUAAAUGGAAGGAUGAGAGUAGAGGAUUUGCCACCUGCUUUGGUAGCUGAGCUUUUAGUCACGUUAUUUGUGAAAUAACUCUAGUAAUAUAUUUAGGAAGUGAAGUCUAAAUUGGGUUACUGUUAUUUAAUGCUAUGAAGCUACCAGGUAUCUUGUAUAAUUUGCAGAUUCAGCAGUCACCAGUGCUGCUUCUGAAAAUCAUGAUUCUUUAAUUCUGUUUUUACCCAUUUGUUUGUGCUCUAUGUUAUACAAUCAUUAUAAUACUAUUUGUAUACACACUACUGCAGCACCUCCUUUGAGUCUGCUGGAUUUAAGAAAAUGAGGGUGUACUCUGUAUGUUAAAGACUGUAAGAGGAGGGACCUCCAGGGUUUUGGUUUUUGUUGUAAGGCUUAAUUGGAAUAUAAGGCAUUUGUUAAGUGAAGGAUUUAUCUAUAUCUAUAUCUAUAGAUAUAGAUAUAUAUAAUUGUUAAAAUUGAUAGAUGUAGUAGGUCAUUUUAACAUCAGUACCUGGACUGAUGGACAUAUGAAAUGGGCUGAUUGUAAGCUAUAUCUGUAUGAAAAAUAGUUGUGAAAUAGUAAUUUCUUGCAUUUUAGUCUCUUCCUAUAUUUUGCCUGGUAGUUGUCCUUUCUGGAAUUUAAUUGCAUACUAAAGCCACAGUUUGAUGGGUUUUGUGCAGCUUGUAACAAUUACCGGUCUUUUUCCUUUGGAUUAGAACUUUGCCUGAAACUGAUGUUGGAUCAUAUCUAAGAAAAAUAAUCAUUUGAAAGAAUUUUAAAGUUCCAUCUCUGCUUAGUCAGAGUGUACUUACUAUUUAUAGCUUCGGGAGAAACUUCACAGCUUUUAUCUUGGUAACAGAAAAGUUGUAAUUGGCCAAAAAUUUGAAGGAGGGCUAUAUUUUGUUAAUAAUGUAACUUGGAGUUUUCUGUCAAGCCUUGUAACUACCAGAGCUGCUGCUGUGCUCAGAAUGGUGAGACAGCCAAAGGCAGGAUUACUUACCAUAGAAUCGUUUAGGUCGGGAAAGGCCUCUGAGUCCAACUGUUACGAUGUCCCAGAUCUACCUGUUUUUCACCAAGCUCAUCAUGUUUUUCACCAUUUGCAAAUAACUGUAACCAGCAUUUCUGUACAGACAGGAGGGCAAGCAACCACCAGCAGAACACAGCAGGGUUUUUCUGUGGAGUUAAACUUCACAGAACCCGGGCUCACGCGCUGUGGCUCUGGUGACUUCACCUCCUGACCAGACUGAGUUCCUGUGGCAGUCUUUCUCUUCACCACAAGUGCUUUCGGAAGUGCAGAGGAGAACACUGAUUUACAAGUGCUACAAGUCAGCUGGUGACAGCUAGGAGCCAUCUGUGUCAGCCUUGUAAAGGGACGAGCUGUGCGAGGUCCUUCCACGGCUACCUGAGGGACUUGGCUGAAAACCCAGGAAGCCACUAAAGGCUGUGAUGACUGUUAGCUAGAAAUAAAUUGUAAAAAUGACAUAUUAAUGAGUGGAAAACUUGAAGCUAGGUUUAAAAAAUACAGUAAUACAAAAUGAAGCAAUCAUUAGGACCUUAGUGCAGAGUUCUGUUGCACAGCUACUGUGCAUGAAGAAGGUCCUGUGCCAUGCCAGCAUAGCUGUGGCUGCACUGCAGAGAGCCCUGUACAGCUGUGCCUAAACCAUCCAGAAAGUUCUGGAAAAAAGAUGCUUUUCUGCUGUGUCUUAUGUUGUUUGGAACAGUGGUGUAACUCCAUGUGUGGAUGAGAGUUUUGUCUCUGUGGAGGAGUUUGGCCUGGUAUGAUCAACACAGAUAGCUCAGCAAAAUCAUUGUCUUCCUAAGGAUCAGUUACGUAAGCAGUUCUGAGGAGUUUCCCUUCCUUAUCCCCUAUUUGACCAUCAAGUUCAAACAGAACAAACCUAAAAUGUAACUCUGAAAAUUAGGUGCAAGCGCAGGGAUAUGGCUAUGUCAGAUAAGGGUAUGAAGUUGCUUCCAUUUCAGUGGCUUUCAGAAGUACUUAAAAUAUGAGGAAGGACAGUUCUUUGUGCAUGUGGUUUAUAGACUGGCCAAAGCACUAAAAAAGAUGUCUGAAGUCAUGGAACUUUGCUCAGCUUUAGGACUUCUAAGAUAAAUUUUUGCUGAUGGCCAACAAAAAAUAAACGUUAAUCCUAGAAAUUAAGAUGUAAAUUCUUACUUGGACAGGUAAUCUCUGGUUCAUAAUGGUGUUUUGAUGUGAGUCCCUACAGGAGUGAGAAGUGCAGAAUUAUGCCCAUAUGACCCAGCUUUCUAUGCUUUCACAAUUACCAAAUAGUCGGGCUCCUCUGUGUGCUUAGCUCCUGCAGCAUUUUGUUUUGCUUUAAAUCAAGCAAACAGAACCCAAAUAGUAAAUGUUAACUUUUCAGUUAUGAAACAAGGGCAUGGACUGUGAAAUUCAGUAAGUUUGUAGAUAGCUUGACACAAUGUAGGGAAGGUGGGAGCAUCAUCAAUCCAAAGUCUUUACAUUUUUUUGCCCAAGCGCAUGGUGACUCAUCAGGUGCCUCUGGAAGCUGACUGUUGCAGUGGGUGAAAGGUAGUGUGGAAGUUAAUCUGAAAAGCCAAAACUGAGGCUAAGAAAUGCAAUAAGAGGGUUGGUGAAGCACAAAGUUAGAGGGAGAGAAAGCAGAAAGGUGGAAAAUGGAGCAGAGCAAGCACAGGAUCUUGACACUCAUUUUUUCUGCAGAUAUUUGUGCAGUGUGGUAACACAGGCAACAGUCUUACUGUGGCUUCAUCUGCUUGGGUUUUUUCUCUCUUACAGUUACUGGUGGAUACAAUUUUACUUAUUUAAUAGGUGAUCUGACUUUUUGGACUGUGUGAGCAUGCAUUAAGAAAGAAACCCCAAACUUUAGCUCCUGCCGUGCUGCGUUAUGGUGCACAGCAGGGACCCCUCCCACGGGACCCCACCCCGGCCAUGUCCUGGGGAGUGCUCCCAGCCCGGGCUGUGUUCCCAGCUCCGUGUCUGUAGGGGAUUGUUUCUGCAUGGCUUUCCGCUGCGCCUUCCGUCGCCCACGUGGUUCAGCCGGGGAGCUCUGGGGCUUUGUUCAGGGCGUUAUUUCCUUCAUUCAGCUUGCUUUCACUGACAUAUCUAUAAAUAUGUUUGUCUGGGUGCUGUUUCCUCCUCUGGUCGCUAAUAAUUUCGCUGUUAAUGCUUGUUACUUGUUAAAUAUCCACAGGAUUUUUGGAUCAUAGAUACAUAUAUUUAUCUGUGAUACGCAAUUUCUACCCAAAAUAUUCACUGUCUGCAAAAGCAUUAAAUAAUAAUUCUGAAUAUGUUCUAAAUGUAUAUCUAAAUGUAUGUCUAAAAUAAUAUAUUCUAAAAACAUAUUUUCUCAAAGAAAUUAUACAGUUCGAAUCUUAUAAUGCUCUAGAAAAUUGCAAAUGAAUAUUAUUGUUUGAAUGAAGCAUAAAUGGCUAAAUGUGGGGUUUUUUUGCAAUUUUUUAAAUUUUAUACUAAAUUUUUCUUUAGCCGCAAAAAACUCAAUACUAAUUCUGAGCAGCAGUCAACUCACCUGCAGUUAGCUUGUCAAAGAAGCACCAGUGUAUUUAAUAUUUAGAAUAUUUUGGUGUGAAUCUUUGAUAGUUGAAGUACGACAUAGUUUCAGCACUGACAAAAUUAUUUCUGCCAUAGUGGUAGGGCUUUUCUCUCAAUUGCAUCCAGUCAAAUACCAUGUUUUUGAGAAACAAAGCAUAUGAACAUUAUUCUGCUCAAAGUUGUCUACAUAAUCACAAAAGAUGAUGAAAGAAAUAUUUUAAAAUACAUGAAUUAUGUACUUAGAAGACAUAUAUUCAGUCUGAAAGGCUAAUACUGUGCAACUGUAGAGCAGCCACUCUGGUAUGGGUGAAAGGAAACAUUAAGAAUAUAAUGGAAUAUAUAAAUGGAAAUGGAAGAAACGAGGGAAAAUAUAAUUGAGUAAAGGGGAAAGCAGCCUAAAAAUGGUGUGGUUUCAUAUGGAAUGUUUUCUUUCAAAGUACCUCUCUACGGACAACAAGUAAUUCCAUCUCUCGACCAAACUGUUCAUUGUGGAAGGUGAAGGUGUGGGCAGGUGUGGCGGGCAGAGCCGCUGCCAAGGCUGGGGCAGCUGGGGCAGCUCCUCCAGUGCCACACUUGCCUGGCAUUCCCAGAGACCUGGUGGGGCUUCAGGAGGUCUUGGUCUUGCUUGUACCCCUGCCCCGUGGAUGGGCUGUCCCCCAGCACUGCUGCUGUGAUCACACAGUGAGUGCCCGUGGAGGAAAUGUCUGGAUCUUGGGCUGGGUGCUGUUCCUGAGCAGACACUGGGUUUUUGCUCAGCCUUUACACAAUUGGGAGCGGACUUGUGGUGCUGGUACUGCCAGGAAGAAGAAUCCAGUCAUCUGCUAUGUAACUCAACUGACUGUAUUCCCAACCUCCUCAUGCAUCAGUGCUGCUGGAGUGCCCACAGCUGCUCACACCUCUCUUUGGUCCCCUGUGUUUCCAACAGUGGUGCUCCUGGUGUGUACUCGGGUUAUGUGAAGAUGAACAUGGGACAGAUGCAUCUACUACAGCUUGUCUGUACUCUGCCCAAUUGGCAUAGUGCUUUUUAAAGCCUUGUAACUUGGGUGUGUUACGUUUAAUGAGCGUGAAAGGAUUUCUCCCAUCUCAGUUUUCUUUGAAGCUCAAAUGUAAAAUGCAUAAUGAGGAUCACUUUUCUUAAAUGAAAAUACAGGACUUCAGUAUGUAAGAAAAAAUUCCAACAUGUUACUUGAACAAUCAGAACAAUUGUCCUCUGCUAAACAAACCUUGUUUUGGGUUAGAGUGGCAUGCAUACAGUAGUUGGGACAUGCAGCAUGGUUUGGUUACAGCACUAGAAACAGGUACAGUUCUAGCAGGUGUCAUUGCAAAAAAAAAUGCAGAAAAAGAGAGGAAGGGAACAUUAGCACCAGCUAGAUGUUUUGUGUGUUGGCAAUAGAUACCCACCUUCUGUGCUACCAUUAGGAGGUGUCUGUGCAAGAGGUAGUGGUGACCUGCUGGCAGGUGCUCAAGCUGUGCAUUUAACAAAAAGGGCAUUUCAGAGCCACUGAUAGCCUGGCUUUGGCUGGGGGUUAGCUGGGUGAACUGGGAUGCAGCAGGAGGGCCGUGGGUGCUCAGAGAGGAGCCGUGCAGGGCGCGUUGGUGAUGGAGCAUGGCAGGGAAUGAGGUGACGGGCACGGGGACCCCUCUCACCAUGGCAGAGGUGUUUUGGGGGCUGUGCCCUAGUCCAGGCUCUCUUGGCCCAAGGUACAGUAGCUUUAACAUGAAACCCUUAUACACUGUAACAGCAUUUCCACAGCAUUCUCGACUGCGUGGGACAGCCCUGGGAUUCCAGGCUGUCUGCUGCUCCUCCAUAGUUUUGUGAGCAUGUUUGCUAUUUUUGGAGUGCAAAUCUCUCAGUAACUUCCCGGCCCCUGGCACUAGAUGGAGCUUCAAUCUACUUGCACUUGGAAGUCAACUGUUAAGUUUAACCACAAGUUAAAAAUAGGGAAGAAUAAAUGAAGGUAUGCAUGCCUGCUGCUACACUUGCAGUGCCUCUUUCCCUGUUUGUAAGCAGAGUGGUGUAAAUUAUAAUGUAAAUUUAAUUUAAGUGAAAAUUAAAAUAUUGCAGGAGAAUCUCCUUGAUCUAGUACAUGCUUUAUAAUCACUAGCACCCUUUAAUAUACUCUCAGGCCCAUGACAGAAAUUACUGAAAGUUAGAUAUGCUGGAAUUGUGCUGCUGUUUGCAGUGCUCUUGCAAGAAUUCAUUUGCAUUUUCCCUUCGUGCUACCAAAGCCAACAAUUCAGAAUCAUCUGUUGUCAGUCACUUCAUUUCCCCUCCAUGUAUUACCCUUAAAAAUACUGAACAAAUGGAAAGAAAUUGGAAAGAAAAGCUUUGAAAAUGUAGUGUUUGAUACUGCACAUUUCUUCUUUCCUACAGCCCAUGAAUGCAGCCUCCCACUGCCGCCCAGGCUGGCCUUGCUGGGUGCCAGCAUCCCAGUGCCACGGUGACCCACAGACACAGAUCUCAAAAGCUGAACUGCUCUAACUUCACAUGCCAAAGUAGAACCUACUUCUUCUGCCUCUGCCUUGCGCUCAGCAUCCAGCCUUGCCCACGGUGCAGUACAGUAGAUAUUGCUGUGGGAGAGCCUGGCUGGUGAGACAGAGUUCCUUCCUGCUCACCUCUUUGAGCAUCAAGCUGUGUCAGCUGGGAUGACUGGAGAAGCCCAUCUCUUUCCCCAUCCUCUGAGACCAGGAAAUUGAAAGUAAGGAAAUCUCAUCAGGAACAACACUCAUGUGCAGGUCCCAAGCCCCCGCUGCACCUGAAUUCAACUGAUGCAAAGAAGCUGAAUUUAAAAUGUGCUACAGAACAAAGCAAGGCCAGCUGGAGGAUUUCCUGCAGGAGAAAGGAAAAGCCUGGGGAGGCAGUGGGCUGGAAUGCUGAGCUGUGACACAUUCCUGCUGGCUAUAGUCUCAUUCUGUUUGUGCCUUUACUGAGGCGGCCGGGCCCCGGGGUGUUUGCAGCACUGCGGUUUGACAGCGACAGCCUGGGAAGGCGAUCCAUGCAGUGAUUAAGUCACUUUCGCAAGGUCACGCGGCGAAUCGCUGGCGCCGCCAGGAAUAGCACCCCGAGCCUCUUGGCUCUCUCGAGCCCACCCUCGGCACUCCAGCCCGAAUUCCCCUGGUUUUGUGGCUUUAAACAUGGUGCACUCUGCUGGCCUUUGCCAUGGCCUGACAAGAGAGAUCCUGACUCGUUCCAGUGGGUGCUGGUUACUGAGGAUUAUGAACCUUUCUGCAGCAAGAUUUGAAACAACAAGAUUCCAGUUUAAAUCAAAGUCCCUAGGAUUCACUUGUGAUUUCCAGUAAGGUUUCUUUAAGUGUGGCGAGUUGCAAAGCGUGAUGGGAGCAGACAAUGUUUAUGCUGGUAACAGGAGUUGAAAAUUUUUCCUGUCAUGGAAAAGAUGAACAAGCCUGUUCCAUGUCACCUUUCUUUUCUGAGACCUCAGUGUGACUCUGCCGUGCACAAGAAAAGCACACCACAGGCUGGAGCGACCAGGAAGUCUUGUCCCCAAGUGGCUUUGUGCUCUUCAAAGAUACCUGAAGGAGCCAGAGAAGGUGGCUGGUGUCCAGAAUAUGCAAAUGCAGGUUUGUUCCUUCUGCUGAAUGGACUGUGCACAGAGAAGUGUGUCUCCAAAGAGUGAAUUUUUUGGCCCUUUGGAAAUGUGUGAAAGGGACAGCAGCAUAUGGACUUGGCAUGCCCCAGGGAUGGCUGCAGGAGCUUGGGAACAUUUCGUGCCUGCAGCAAGUAUAGGAAGAAGGGAGGAGGAGAGCAGAGCGAGCAGUUGCAGUGAACUGUGUGGUGAUGGCACUGAGCUCUGUGGCUGCACCGGCGGGGCCCAGCCACGACCAGGUCUUCAUCACAGCUGAGAUCUGCUGUUUUCUGGUUGGAGUGCUUUUUAUAGCCUGCAUUAUAAGGAAACCCACACUUGGGGAAAGGAAGAAGGAAUUAAAUGGAAAACUAACCACAGGCCUGGCCAUUAAUCCUUCUGGGGAAAGCAUGGUCUGGGCUGCAUUCUUCAGCAUCCAGACCCUCUGUGGGAUACACCAGGUGAAAGUUGUCAGCAGGGUACUAAAGCAAAGAGAGAGCAAGGAUUAACAUGGGGACUUGAUGGGCUCAGUAUAGAUAAUUCUGCCCCUCUACAGUGACUUCCAGAAAUGGGGGGGAUUCUACAGCCAGUGUGAUUUGGCAAAUACCCAAAAUAUAACACGGAGAUCUGACAGUAGGGAUUGCAGAUAGAAAAUGUGGCAUUCUCUGGCACAGCUGUCAUAUUAUACUAAGCCUGUUACUUCCCUUUAAUCCUGAUUAAUACUCUGCAGUCUGAGCUGGGUCUCUGGUCAGCCAUUGUUCUGGGGGGUCUGCUGCUGUUCUCCCACUGGAACCUGUUCAUUUGUGCUCUUUCCAUGAGGAGCAGCCAAAAUCAGGAGUUAAACGUUGCUGAUAUUAAAAAGGGCUCCUGGCAUCUGCCCUGAAUGGAGAAAUCAUCAUGUCAUUCAUUAAAGAUAUCCAUGCUUGUACAGGGAACACAUGUGUACCAGAUGGUGCCAGUUCAGGAUUCCCAGAGGGAGGAGGAGAGGUCCAUCCCUGCUGAAUGCCAGAGCCACCCCAGUCCCAGGGUCCCCCAAGGGUCCUCCCUCAUCUCCCUGCAGCCUGGCAGAGAUGCCCCUGGACCUCUCCCAGCUGAGGCUGCACUGCGACCCCAAACUGCCAAGGAAAGUACAAAAUUGGUGUAUCCUGGGGGAGGGAGGGAGGGAUGGGGGCUGAGAUCUGGUGUCUCGAGACCAUGGUUUUUAGACAGUGCUGAUCCAGUGUCUUAUUCCCAGCACUUUUCAAAUUGUGUUAUUUCCUACAGUUUGCAACUACACACAGUAGUCAGAGGUUAUGACACGUAGCUGACUUUAAAGGACACUGUAACAAAUGCUAUGCACAUGUUCUAUAAAUGUUGUUAUACCCUGUAUUUUAUAGCUUUAGACUGCAAUAAAUGAGGACAAACUAUGUGCUUGUAGUGUGAGAAUA